CCAUAUAGAUGGGGGUUGGCGGCGGGCAUAGGAGUGGUGUAUGCGUUAUGUGGAAUUACUGGGCUUAAUGCGUGCUUAGUGGGGUUGUGAAGUCUGAGGUGCAAGCCCUGGGCUCAACCUGGGAAUUGCAUUGGGUACUGGCAGGCUAGAGUGCGGUAGAGGGUAGUGGAAUUCCCGGUGUAGCAGUGAAAUGCGUAGAGAUCGGGAGGAACAUCCGUGGCGAAGGCGACUACCUGGACCAGCACUGACACUGAGGCACGAAAGCGUGGGGAGCAAACAGGAUUAGAUACCCGUGUAGUC
rnacentral:rRNA from 1 species